rnacentral:rRNA from 1 species
GAUCAGGCUGUUGGUGAGGUAAUGGCCCGCCAAACCUGUAACCGGUACGGGCUCUGAGAGGAGGAGCCCGGAGAUGGGCACUGAGACAAGGGCCCAGGCCCUAUGGGGCGCAGCAGGCGCGAAACCUCUGCAAUAGGCGAAAGCUUGACAGGGUUACUCUGAGUGAUCUCCGUUAAGGAGAUCUUUUGGCACCUCUAAAAAUGGUGCAGAAUAAGGGGUGGGCAAGUCUGGUGUCAGCCGCCGCGGUAAUACCAGCACCCCGAGUGGUCGGGACGUUUAUUGGGCCUAAAGCAUCCGUAGCCGGUUCUACAAGUCUUCCGUUAAAUCCACCUGCUCAACAGAUGGGCUGCGGAAGAUACUAUAGAGCUAGGAGGCGGGAGAGGCAAGCGGUACUCGAUGGGUAGGGGUAAAAUCCGUUGAUCCAUUGAAGACCACCAGUGGCGAAGGCGGCUUGCCAGAACGCGCUCGACGGUGAGGGAUGAAAGCUGGGGGAGCAAACCGGAUUAGAUACCCGGGUAGUCCCAGCUGUAAACGAUGCAGACUCGGUGAU